AUGCAUACUGGAUGAAAUCCAUAAUAAUCAACAACUUUUCCGGAACUUUUGUUCCACUCACCACUCAAAAUUCUCCAAAUAUCAAACAUUUCAACUAGCUUCGUACUCACAACUGUAAAUUGAGAUCUCAUUCCAAAGGCGGCAAAAGCAAGAUUUAUAAAAAAAAAACCAUUAAUUGUGCAAUGCAAGCAAAGUCCAUGCUAUAAACACAAAACGAACGAUGUAUUUCAUUUGUGGCAUAAUAUCACCAACACAUUGCAAAGAUUAGAUGUUAUUUUGCCUGCGAUUGAGAUGUAAUAAGACGAAAAAUAUACACCAACAGCAGCAGCAACAAGCGCAGUAGUGUUGUUGUCUCUUUAUUGCUUGCUUCAGCUGACUCAACACUGCCCACAGUGCAUACCUAUACAUGAUCAACACCAUCAUCGCGCGUGUGUAUGCGUUUACAACUCGAUGGCAUUCAAUAGCCGUAAACCAUGUGCAGAAAAUGAAUCCAGCAUCAAAUGAGAUUGGUGCGUCGCCAAUUAAAUCUCCAAUUGAAGUGAUGAAUCUCACCAAAGAACAAGAACUUAUUCAAAUUACAACGCAAAAAACACAAAUUUUUGAUCAUGUUGCAUCAACGGAAGUUCAUAAUAUUUACAGUCAUCUUGGCUACGGAGAUUUAUCGGAUGCAAUUACACAAACUAUGAUGUGUGCAAUAGCUAUCGGGUUAAUAUUAUUGAUUGUCAUUUGGUGUUUAUUCAUUCGUCAAAUACCGUACAUUCUGCGACACACGCCAAGCAAAUAUGUGGCAAGGACAUUGGUGUUGUGUGGCGUAUAUGCAAUUGUCGGUUCGGCCGCUUUAGUGUCAUUAAUUUGCUUCAGAGCGUUUGUAUUUUGUGAUUCUGUGUGCCAUUUUGCCUUUCUAUUAUGUGCCUAUCAAUACUUUGCACUGAUCAUCGAAUAUGCUGGCGGCGAAACGAAUUUUAUCAAAAGUAUUCGGAGUACAGCUGUUUUCAACAUUCGAACACCGCCGUGCUGUUGUUGCCUUCGAUUCUUGUUACCAUCAGCAAUCACCAAGAAAAAAUUUAAAUAUUUACGCCUAAUGGUUAUUCAAAUGCCAAUUAUCCAGGGAAUACUGCUGGCGCUGUUGAAUGUCUUCAACUCUAUCGAUACCAGUUUGUACGAGCAAGUGCACCCAUUUAUGUCAAUAUUCAUUGUUGCAUCGAUUAUGAUUGGUGUCUGGUCGCUUCAAAUCAGUUCACGCAUGAUUGCCGCUCACCUGCCCGACCACAAAAUUCUACAUAAAUAUUUUGCGAUUCAAUUGGUGUUGAUUUUAUAUAAAUUGCAACCGGUAGUCAUACAUGUGAUAGCUUAUGGCAUCAAAUAUACAACUGGUUACCGAAUCAACAGCAAAAUCAUUGAAAAUGCCAUUAUUCAACUAAUUAUUCUACUGGAAACCACUGUCUUGUCAUACUUUGCGAAUUGUGUGUAUAGCGUGCCGACCAAAGCAAACGAAACAAAUUAACGUUCUUUAGAAAUAUCAAUCGAAUGCCGAACAAAUCUAUGAAAGCAUUGCGACAGAGAGGGAGAGAGAGAAGUUCAUUUUUCCAGUCAUUCAAUGUUGGCAACACUGAGCCCAACAGGCAGCUGACAGUACGAGACUUUGUGAGCGAAAGAGAGAAGUGUAGUGUUGGCGGUCGCAUUGCUUGACACAUUGUUCGAACAGAACUGUCAAGUCGUUUAGAAUCAAAACCAGCAAAAAAAAAACUAUACACACGAAGAUAGAAGCAUAAAAAAAUGGAACUGAACGACAUUAGGAUCGCAACGACAGUCAUUACAUGCCGAUUGUGAUAAUCAUUAUAGUUUAGUUGUUGAAAUGUGUAUGUUGUGUCGUUCUGGCUGCUUUUGUUGUUUAAAUCAACGUCAAUUUUUCAAUUCAACACAUUUGGCACAGUCUGUAUUUGCAUUCAAGUUGUGUUGAUGGGUGGUAAAGCUAAAGUGAUUUUUUCGCAUACAGAAAUUCGAAUGUGUGCUCGUGUGUUUUUUUUUUGUUUCGCCGUAAUAUGCUCGAUCAGAUAAAUCUAGAGAAUGGUUGUGCGUGUUACGUAUUCACUCGUUUUGAUCACCGAUCCCGUACAUGCUAGCUAAAUCAAUUCACACCAAUCAACAAUAACAAUAACAAUAGUGACGACAGAACAUUUUUUUAUUAAAAAAAAAAAUACACGUACAUAUUGUCGAUAAAGUGCAUUUCAUUUAGACAACUGUUAUUUGAUAACAAUAUAACGCAUGUAACGAGGAUUUCCGUUCUUAUCAAUAAUUUUAUGGAAAUUGAUUUUUGUGAUGAAAAAACGAAAGUAAC